rnacentral:rRNA from 1 species
UACAGAGGUCUCAAGCGUUUGUUCGGAUUCAUUGGGCGUAAAGGGUGCGUAGGUGGCGCUGUAAGUCGGGUGUGAAAUUUCGGAGCUUAACUCCGAAACUGCAUUCGAUACUGCCGUGCUUGAGGACUGGAGAGGAGACUGGAAUUUACGGUGUAGCGGUGAAAUGCGUAGAUAUCGGGAGGAACACCAGUGGCGAAGGCGACUUCCUGGCCUGUUCUUGACGCUGAGGCGCGAAAGCGUGGGGAGCAAACGGGG